rnacentral:rRNA from 1 species
GACGAACGCUGGCGGCGUGCUUAACACAUGCAAGUCGAACGGAAAGGCCCUGCUUUUGUGGGGUGCUCGAGUGGCGAACGGGUGAGUAACACGUGAGUAACCUGCCCUUGACUUUUGGAUAACUUCAGGAAACUGGGGCUAAUACCGGAUAGGAGCUCCUGCUGCAUGGGGGGGGUUGGAAAGUUUCGGCGGUUGGGGAUGGACUCGCGGCUUAUCAGCUUGUUGGUGGGGUAGUGGCUUACCAAGGCUUUGACGGGUAGCCGGCCUGAGAGGGUGACCGGCCACAUUGGGACUGAGAUACGGCCCAGACUCCUACGGGAGGCAGCAGUGGGGAAUAUUGCACAAUGGGCGGAAGCCUGAUGCAGCAACGCCGCGUGCGGGAUGACGGCCUUCGGGUUGUAAACCGCUUUCGCCUGUGACGAAGCGUGAGUGACGGUAAUGGGUAAAGAAGCACCGGCUAACUACGUG